AAAGAUACCCAAACCACAUAAGACCUGAAGAAGGGAAUUGGGUGAUGGAUGCGUAACACCGAAUCCGCAGCCGGAAAGGCAAGCGACGGCAAACAGGAGGAGGACCUCCCGACCUCCCUCUGAGACCAACAUUUGAACUCCUUUUCGUUCUCUCUCUCUCUCUCUCUCUCUAUCUCCCUCCCUCUUCUGUGCGGUCGUGGUCUCUGUUCUCAAUGCUCCCAGAUGGUUCAACAAACGAUUGAUUCCAAGUUUAGCGACUAUGGGCUCCCAAAAACAGAAACUGGCUUGCCCAAUCAUGAUAAGCAACAUCCUCUGUCGGUGACUACAAAGAAGACAGCACUAAGAGAUUUGCAGUAUGAGAAUAGAGUUGCAGUACCCAAGUCUGUGGGAAGCUCUUUGUUCCCUAAGGAGAGUGUAUCCAAGCUUGAGGCUGUAAAAAUUUCUGGCAUGAAAAGGCCUAUACCUGAGUCCCUGGUGAACCCACCUCACCAUCAAUCUCUGACCAGUACUGCCACAAAUGGGCAUCUUGUUUAUGUUCGUAGAAGGCCUGAAGUAGAACUAGCUAAAAGCAGCAGCCUAGACAACAUGAGCAAUAAUGCAUAUCUUCCACAGGCAAGGAAACUAGCUCAGCAAGACGAGACAACUGAACAGAAAUCACAGAUAAAGGAACCUAAGCUUUGUGCUCCAGAAGUUGCACCUAUCCCAAGGACUUCUUCGGUGUGCUUCUCAUCUGUAAAACCUUCUCUUCCUUCCUCUCUUGGGAAGUCCAGCAAUAUUUUACUUCCUGCAGAUACAAAUUAUCUUUCUGUUUCUUCUACUGCCCCUCCAUUGGAUUAUCCAAAGAGAACACAUAAACUGCACUGGGAGGAAAGGUAUUGUGAACUUCAGGACUUACUGAAAAUGUUUGAUCAAUCAAACCAAGAAGAUUAUGUCCAGUUGCUUCGUUCCCUCUCCUCAGUUGACCUUAGCAAACAUGCAUUUGAACUAGAAAAGAGAUCAAUCCAUCUUUCUUUGGAGGAAGGUUCUGUUUGAGUAGUCAGCUCUUCCCGUGCCAUUCUUCAUAACUAAAAAAGGUGUGAGCAGAGUCUUGGACUGGUGCUAUGUGCUCCAGAGGCUAGUGCGAAAGAGAUGCAACGGGUUCAAGUUUUGGAUGUGUUGGGAAAAUACCCGAAGAAUUCGAGAGCACCCUCCUCGGCGGCUCACCGGGCUCAGCCAGACAAGUGAAGUGAGAGAGAAGGGGGGGGGGGGAUGAAAUUAAGGUUCGCUGUGUUAAAAAUGAAACCGUAGAUUGUGAUUUCUAUCGGUUUUCUUUCUCUGAUUAGAUUUUGUGCAUUGGUUUGGUUGGUGGCGUGUAUUUUCUGGGGAAGUAAAGGGUGUUGUGUCGCUGUGGCUGUGGCUGGUGAUGCUUUUCUUUGUAUAUGCCUGAUUUUUCAUUUAUGUGCUGAUGAAAUGUUUAACAGAGCAUCCCCUUCCCCUUCCCCUUGGGCUUGAUGAAUGUUGAUGAGAUAGAUACACUCUUUUAGAAAUGAUGUAUUGUGACCACUCACUCACUCA